CGUAAAACACUGGUACAAAACUCGACGGAACUAGCUAGCUUAGAGUGUAUUUUGUUGAGAAUUGAUCCAUUUUUUUAACAGCAAAGAGGCAAAAUGACCAAGAGGAUAAACAGAAGAAAGAGAACCAGGAUGUGAGAGAAUUGUUGAAGAGAGAGAACUAGGGUACAAAAGGAAGAACAGGAUGAAGAAAGAAGGAGUAUCAGACUCCUCCUUCCCCUCCCCCACUACCAUUGCCGCCGCCACCACCACCACCACUCUGUUGGAAAAGAGAGAGAGAGAAAAUGUGUCAGAGCAUAUCCUUGAGUUACAGGAAGAUGAAUAUAAGAGAAAUGAUACAGAAGUGGG